GAAGAGCUUUCAGGUGGCGGCUAAGGAUUGUUGAAAGAUCACUUUGCCAUGACCUGAAAGCUCUUCUUUUUCAUUGCUUAAGCUUUCUUCAAUCAGCCACAAGAAUGUCAAUGGCCUUAUUCUCAUCUCCCCCACUUCACUUCCCUACUCUUACCCCUUCAAAACAUCACCUAACCCCCAAACCUUAUCCUUCUAUAAGUUUCAAGAAACCCCAUCUCUCUUUCUUGGUUUCUCCGAAGGCCACUGAUAAUGGGUCAGGUGGUGUUGUUUCCUCUUCUUCUGUUACUGUAGAGCAGGAAGUACUCGAGGAAAAAGCUCAGGACGGUGCUGUGGAAGUUGAGGAGUCAAAUGAGGCUUCUGUAGGCUCUAAUGGGUCACCGCCGGUGGCUUCCGCCGGAGCUCCGGCGCCGGAGAUUGUGAGGAUGUUUCAAGAUCCGAGAUGGGUUGGUGGGACUUGGGAUUUGAAGCAAUUUCAGAAAGAUGGAGAGACCCAUUGGGAUUCUGUUAUUGAUGCUGAGGUUAGG
rnacentral:misc_RNA from 1 species